rnacentral:rRNA from 1 species
AUGGCAGGAUGGAAGGCGCGGUGGAGGAGGGCCACGGCGCCACACCUGGCGGCCAUGGUGGGGAGGCGGAGGGCGUCCAAACAGUGGAGGAAUGGGGAGGUUGCGUUGUGCAGAGCAAAGUCACGGCACCGGAGGGCCACGGCCGUUCGGAGGCCUCAGCCUUGCGUGGUCAAGCCGCGGCGCAGAAGGGUGGCCUUCCAUCACCGAAGAAGGGCGGUGGCGCUGCAUCGUGUGGUCUUGGUGGGGAGGCGGAGGGUGGCCAAGAUGUGGAGGAGGGGCGAGGCAGAGCUGUGUAGAGCACUACAUCAGCUUGGCUAG